GCUGGAGCUUGGAUCAUCCCCUGUGAGAACCCCAGGCAGGGCAGGAGCCAUCCCUGGCCCUGCCUCCACACCACGGCCAGCCAGCAGCAGCCAGCCCAGAAGGUCCUCGGCUUCCCCCACCGCCCCUACCCAGCUCUCUGUUUUUGAGUGGGCACUGGCCUCUCCACAGCCUCACAGCCCUGUGCUGGGCACUGAGGAAGUUUGCCAUCCUGCCCAUGGCCAGUUUGAGGAAGAGGAGGAGGAGCUGCAGGCCAUCUGGGAUGGGGCAGAUGAGCAACGGACACAGAGUCCACCAGGAGGCAGCUGUGCCAGCCAGCGGACAGGGAGCAGGACAGGCAGCUUGCCCAGCCCCAACACCACUGUUGGUGGGCCCCUCAUCCUCUCAUCAGCCAACAACGUGCUAGUGGCCCAAUUCACCCUUCCCACCACUGCCCGGCUGCUCUGCAGCCCGUCAGGAGAGAAGAGCCCCAAAGUGGUGCACAGUGGCAGUGGCAGUCCCACUGGGCUCAAGGUUUCCCCCCACUUGGAGGAGCUGAUGUCUGCAGUCCCCUUGGAUGGCUCCAGUGCCUGGGAUCGGCGGAAGCAUGGGCAAGAAGAAAGAGAGAGCAGCAAUGUUCUUCCGGGUAAAAUGGAGUUUCAGAUGAUGGAGGGGACACUGGAAAGGAAGCACGUAUUGCAGACAGGAGGGAGAAAGGCCAGCUGCCGAGCCUGGGGCCUCUUCCAUGCUGUGCUGAUGAGGCAGACACUGUGCUUCUACCAGGACCGCAGGGACAGCCUCAAGAGCUCCGUGGUGGCCCUUCCCCUGAACCUCUCUGGAGCAAUCUGCACCCCAGAUGCUGAGUACACCAAGAAGACCAACUGCUUCAGGCUUCAGCUGCAGGAUGGCUCUGAGUACCUCCUGAGGGCCCCCUCCCAGCCCCUCAUGAACGAAUGGGUCUCAAAGCUGCAGCAAAACUCAGGUGAGCAACCCUUGCUGGCAGAGCAGAGGCCCAGCUCUGUGUGGUUACCAUGUUGGUGCAGCCCCUGCAGAGGGGGUUAGAAGAGAAGCAACAAAACGUUGUCUCUGAUUUAUGCAUCCUCCUAACCUGCCUCAGGAACAGCAGUUCUCUGCUAGGCAGGAUUUGGAGGCUUUGUUUUCAUACCACAUACACAGUUAUAAAUCAGGAAUAGCUCGGCUGACGUCAGUGGUGCCUCAGCAGCAAAAAAUCUGUGUCAGUAAAAUUAUAAUUGCACCUUGGUCUUCCUCCAUCUACUCUGUGGGGCCUGGAAAUGCCUUGCUUGCCCUUCAGGCAAGGAGACCUGUAAUACUGAAGUUUUCCUGCUGCUGUACCCACACCUGAGAAGGUUCAAGCCCUGCCAUGAAAUCCAAGGCUCAUUGGCAGGACCUACAGGAGGAGGUUGGAGAAGCCAGCCAUGAAGCAUGGGCACCUGGAGCAGGGACUGGCUCUAUGGG
rnacentral:lncRNA from 1 species